UAGAAACUAUGGUAACGCCAUUUUCGCCCAGCAGUUCAGUAGCCAACAAAUGUGUCUGGAGAUGUAAGACCUAGUUAAAUGGAACGUUGUCUAUUUAACAUGAAAGAUCAUGUAAUCAUUUUUUGGUUCAGAUAUCACUUCCCGUACAUGUAGCUAGCUAGAUGAUGCAGCGAUAAGCAAUAAAGCCGUGACAGGUACCGCAUUGGUUUAAAAUGUAUCUGCGGUCAGUCAGGAAGAACAGCGCAAGAGACAAGACAGUGAGCUUAGUUUCUGUUCUCGCAAAGUCGAUCUAACAAAAAUAUUAACUUGUUCUUUCAGAAUAUAUACACAAUUUCAGUGUUUUCAAUCAGAAACUGCAUUGAAGUCGGACUAACUCCUCACUGUACUGUGUUGGGCAACGGAUGUCCAACAGAACGGAUGCGUGAGAACAUGUCUGCCAUGGUGUGUGUGAAGGAAGAGGAGGAGGACCCUGGGGAGAAGCUGUCCCAGGAUGAGAUCAUCUCCAGGACCAAGCAGGUGAUCCAGGGCCUGGAGGCUCUAAAGCAGGAGCACAACUCCAUCCUGGAGGGCCUUCUGGGCACGCUGCACUGCCUGAAGCAGGAUGACCAGGGAGUCCUGGUGGAGGAGAAGUCCCUCAUGAUCCGCAAGUCCCUGGAGAUGCUGGAGCUGGGCCUGAGCGAGGCACAGGUGAUGAUGGCGCUGUCGGGCCACCUGAGCUCGGUGGAGUCGGAGAAGCAGAAGCUGCGGGCACAGGUGCGUCGGCUGUGCCAGGAGAACCAGUGGCUGAGGGACGAGUUGGCAGGCACCCAGCAGAAGCUGCAGAAUAGCGAGCAGAGUGUGGCUCAGCUAGAGGAGGAGAAGAAACACCUGGAGUUCAUGAACCAGCUGAAGAAGUACGAUAAGGACCUGUUGCCAUCGGAGGAGAAGGACUCUGACUCCAGUAAAGAGAAUCUGGAUGAUCUGUUCCCAGACGACCAGGAUGACCAACCUCCAGGCAUCCAGCAGCCCCACGGUAGUGCAGCAGCAGCCGCGGCCCAGCAGGGUGGUUAUGAGAUCCCGGCCCGCCUCAGGACCCUUCACAACCUGGUGAUCCAAUACGCCUCCCAGGGCCGCUACGAGGUGGCUGUGCCCCUCUGCAAACAGGCCCUGGAGGACCUGGAGAAAACCUCCGGACACGACCACCCUGACGUGGCCACCAUGCUCAACAUCCUGGCCCUGGUCUACAGGGACCAGAACAAAUACAAAGAGGCAGCCAACCUGCUGAAUGACGCUCUGGCGAUCAGGGAGAAAACUCUGGGCAGGGACCAUCCAGCGGUGGCUGCUACACUCAACAACCUGGCCGUGCUCUACGGGAAACGGGGGAAGUACAAAGAGGCGGAGCCACUUUGCAAGCGGGCUCUGGAGAUCCGGGAGAAGGUUCUGGGUAAGGACCACCCGGAUGUGGCCAAGCAGCUGAACAACCUGGCCCUGCUGUGUCAGAACCAGGGCAAGUACGAGGAGGUGGAGUACUACUACCAGCGGGCCCUGGAGAUCUACCAGACCAAACUGGGCCCUGACGACCCCAACGUUGCCAAGACCAAGAACAACCUGGCGUCCUGUUACCUGAAGCAGGGGAAGUUCAAGCAGGCUGAAACUCUGUACAAAGAGAUCCUUACCCGCGCACAUGAGAGGGAGUUUGGCUCUGUAGACGAUGAGAACAAACCCAUUUGGAUGCAUGCAGAGGAGAGAGAGGAACAGAGCAAGGGAAAGCAGCAGGACAGCUCCCCGUUCGCAGAGUAUGGAGGCUGGUACAAAGCCUGUAAAGUAGACAGCCCCACAGUGACCACCACCCUGAAGAACCUGGGCGCCCUCUACAGGCGGCAGGGUAAAUUUGAGGCGGCAGAGACCCUAGAAGAGGCCGCUAUGCGCUCCAGAAAACAGGGUCUGGACACGGUGCACAAACAGCGUGUGGCGGAUGUUCUGAGCGAGCCAGAGGCGCGGGAGAAGCAGUGGAGCCGUGAGAGCCUGACCUCCGACGCCACAGUCAAGUACGAGAGUGGCCCGGACGGGGGCGAGGAAGUGAGUAUGAGCGUGGAGUGGAACGGGGCAUAAUCCCAGAUGCCUUGUUGUGGUUCUAAGUACUUGUCUUCUGCAUGACGGACGCCAGCUCGCCUGCCACCCCUCCAGCUUUGCAGUUGUGUCUUCUCUUCAGGCUCUUCUCUCCUCCUCUGGGCUGUCUGUCUGGCGACUCUACUGGGCCAAGCUGUCCCUAGUUCUAUCCUCCUAUCCACUGUCAAUGGAACCAGGGGACAGGGGGGCUGGGCUCUAUGUCUCAGAACCAAGCCACUCCUGCCUCCUACCAUUACCGUAUCUUGCUCUUUGCUGUACUUAAAUACUCUGUCUCCUCACUCUAUCUGUUCUAUCUCUCAGUAGGGUGUGUGUGGUGUUGCGUUUCCAGCAUUUACUAGAAGUAAUGAUGCAUACCGGUCUGCUUUUGCUCGUAGUGAUUUAACUAACAUACUGUGAAUUCUAUGAGUUGGUGGCAUGAUCAUCAUACUGUAUGCUCCCUCAGAGUACCGUGGUGGCUCUAGGCUGCUGUCGAGUUUCUUUAGUAGUGUUUGAUCCUGUGCUCCAUAUGGUCCUAUUGAUGUCAAACUUAACAGUGUUGUCAUGUCCUGAUCAGGAGGGGGUGUCAGAAGACAAUGCAGCUCCUGUGUAUACAGAGCCAGAUGGUGGGAGGGGAGGGGGAGUGUAGAGGGUGGUAUAGGACAGAGGGGUGGGACAUGCCUCACUCUGCAGCGUGGAAUCUGGACACUUCUCUUUAUGGCUCCUACUAAUCUACUCUGUCCUGUCUGUGCUUCUUAUAGUAUGUAUCUCUUAACUUGUAAUAAAACGUAACUCUUUGCUCACCCACAUCUUUGCCUGUAGCCUCUCUGUGUGCUCCCUCUCUUUCUCUCUGCUGUGUGUGUGUGUGUGUGUGUGUGUGUGUGUGUGUGUGUGUGUGUGUGUGUGUGUGUGUGUGUGUGUGUGUGUGUGUGUGUGUGUGUGUGUGUGUGUGUGUGUGUGUGUGUGUGUGUGUAAAACGGGGUUUGUGUGUGUGUGUGUAAAACGGAGUUUGUGUGUGUGUAAAAUGGUGUGUGUGUGUGUGUGUGUGUAAAACGGGGUUUGUGUGUGUGUAAAAUGGGGUGUGUGUGUGUGUGGUGUGUAAAACGGGGUUUGUGUGUGUCUAAAUCUUGAUGGUAGAGAUCAACUCCGGGACCAUGGUAAUGUGACCCUACUUCUUUUCCUUCUCUUCUCCAUGGUGGUGUCCUAGUGGACAGGUCAGAGGUUAGGGGUCAGAGCUAUGUGAAUAACCACAGAGCAUGAAAAGCUGUUACUCCAAGAUCUGAUCAAACAUAGCAGGAUGGAUAUUGCUACCUUGUUGUAGAUGAAUAAAGCAUGACAAGCUUUAGAAGGAAUUUACAUUGCUCAAGAGAACUAUUGUGAGCAUAACCUUAUAAGAUGUUUUUGGAGGGCUUCUCUAAUUUCUUUAUAGCGUCAUUUCUGAAUAGCACACGGAUGAGGCCGACAUGUUUUGUCUCAGUAGAGAGUCUAAUCAGAUGCACAUGCAAAACCAAGCACAUGCACAGGCCAUCACAUAUGCAAACAGAAGAAUUUGCUGAACCAGUUCUCUGUAUUUUCAUGCACACAUAUCUGUACUGAGUAUGCAUGCAUGUGGGGGUGUGUGCAACUCUGCAUGCAUGUUUGUCUCUACCUGUGUGUAUGCAAGAUGUGAGUGUGAAAGUAACCCUCUGACCUCUCUCAUCAGGGCGGUUCCGGCUCUCUGAAGCGGAGCGGCUCCUUCAGUAAACUCCGUGCCUCUAUUCGCCGCAGCAGUGAGAAACUGGUCCGCAAGCUGAAGGGCGGCAGCUCACGGGAGUGGGACCCCAAAAACUCUGGCAUGAAGCGAGCCAGCUCACUGGGUGUUCUAAACGUGGUGGACAAGGCUACCGGAGACCUCUACCAAGAGCGAAAUAAUCAUCUGAGAAAGAGUCGUGACCUGAGUGCCAGCCACACUGACCUGGCGCAUUGAAGGUCAGAACGUUCCAGUGGAGAGGUGACAGAGGUCAUGGGGUCAGUCUCCUGAACAACCCCCUCCCCGUUGUAGGUAUACAGCUGGCUACAGUACGUAGGUUUCACAAUCUCAUUGCACUUUGAUCUCAUCGCUGGGUUGCUUAGGUGUUUUUAUUUGAAAUGUUUUCUCUUUUUUUCAAUCAAUAUAUAUCGAGCAACAUGAGAUUAGUUAUAAUGAACGACAAAUGUAUAACGCUAAGUCAAGUGUAAAUGCGUGUGUGUGGAUGUAAGUAUGCACCUAUAUUUUCUAGUUAAGUGCUCAAAUGAGAGAAUGUUCAUUUUUGUAUUUUCUGUGUGUGUGGUUGCUUUGUCCUACCUUACCUCCACAGAUCUAAAUCGUAACUUAAAUAAUUUGGUUAUCACUUGAAUGGAAUAUGUGAGCAGUUCAGGAGGUCCCAAUAGAGUACUUAACUCUGCUGUCUCACCCCCUUUCAUCCAAAUUCAUGUCCUGUGUGUUCUUAUUGAAGUGCUAGCUGUGCUUGUUGUAUUAAGUUUUAUGUUUUACAUUUUGGUUGUGUCAAUUAGGGUUUAUUUUAUUUCCUAUGCUGAUCUGGGGAAUCUUAUUUCUUUGUAUCAGAGGUCUUGAAACUGAUAGCUCUGCUUCUAGUUUCACGAUGUUACUGCAAUUUAAAGCAACUGCUCAAAAUGUAUGUGAAGUUAUGAGGCAGGAUCGUUCUGUUGGCACAUUAAGUAGAUCUGGUCGAUUUCUCAGGAUUGUCACAGAACAGAAGAUGGCUAGCGAAGCUAGUUUUGAUAUACACUGACUGUACAAGAUAUUUAACACAAGAACCUGUUACAAUCAAAUGCAUUUUCCAGUAAUAGCAGAAAAAUACUGUUACAAUCUGGAGUAAAGACAUUGUUUACCAAUUUGUACCAAUCUGUUUCUGUAUGUUGAAUGAUGAAUCAAGAGUAAGACUAUGUAUAAAGAGUGAAAUUAAGCUGAAGCACUUGGACUUCAUUAGAUGAAAUAUCCAACCAAAAAAUUCAACAAAUGUUUUUAUUGAUCCAUUAUAGGACUUGCUGUCACCCCCACAUUUACAUUGUUUUACUUUGUUCUCAAAACUUUCAAGUUGACAUUUGCUCGUUUCCGAAGCUUGCCUUUUUAGGUCCACAGACAUGAUCCUACUGACAUGGGUUUGGGUUGCUUGUUGGGUGGACUGUUAAUGUGGUCUGUUGAUGGGGAUGUGUGAUAGAGUUCUGUUAUGUAAGGAAGGUGACUGUUAAAUUUGACUUCAGACAUCAUAGGCCCAGGAACUUCUCCAGUCCCUCACCAGGAUGACUUAGAGGGGUGAAACAUGACUAAUUAGGGUUCAAUUGACAAGACCGGUUACACUAUCCAAGGAACAGGACCUAUUUUAUGAUAAACAAGCAAGUUGUCAUGAGCAGAGUGAACCAUGGAGUAGUGAGUAAUUUGCAAGUAAUCCUAUGAGCAGUGGUACAAUGGCUGCGUUUACACAGGCAGCCCAAUCACAUCAGAUCUUUUUCAGGGCAGAUCCGAUUGGUCAAAAGAUCAGUAAAUAAAACAAAUAUCAGAAUUGGGCUGGCAGUGUAAACGCAGCUUCUGAGUCACUUGAGGUGGUGCACAGAAUAUUAUGGAGAAGGACAACACGCCCUGAACUAGUGAAACACUGCUGGGAAAUCUUAAUGAUGACAUCACCCUAUUAUUUGUGACACAGUCAAUGCACCAGCCUCUUUACUGUCCAAGUUAACUUUUUUUUGUUUGGGGUUGGGCUUGAGUGUGUGUUGAGUGUGUGUAUGUUUGGGGAUGUCCUGGGCUAGACUGGCAAUAGGAACACAAUUGGUAACUACCCAAACUUCCAGCCCCUCUCCCUUAGGAUGACUGCUGUGCUGGCUGGAUCCCUUUAGCCUGAACUGUGAUGAAGUGUUUGUCCAGAAAAAAAAUAUUAUAUGGUAUAAAUUGUUUGAAUAAAACUAUACAAAUAUU